UACGGGGGGAGCAAGCGUUGUUCGGAUUUACUGGGCGUAAAGGGCGCGUAGGCGGUCAGCACAAGUCAGUUGUGAAAUCUCCGGGCUUAACUCGGAGCGGUCAAGUGAUACUGUUGUGCUAGAGUGCGGAAGGGGCUACUGGAAUUCUCGGUGUAGCGGUGAAAUGCGUAGAUAUCGAGAGGAACACCUGCGGCGAAGGCGGGUAGCUGGGCCGACACUGACGCUGAAGCGCGAAAGCUAGGGGAGCGAACGGG
rnacentral:rRNA from 1 species